rnacentral:rRNA from 1 species
GAUUGAACGCUGGCGGCAUGCCUUACACAUGCAAGUCGAACGGCAGCACGGGUGCUUGCACCUGGUGGCGAGUGGCGAACGGGUGAGUAAUACAUCGGAACAUGUCCUGUAGUGGGGGAUAGCCCGGCGAAAGCCGGAUUAAUACCGCAUACGGUCUACGGAUGAAAGCGGGGGACCUUCGGGCCUCGCGCUAUAGGGUUGGCCGAUGGCUGAUUAGCUAGUUGGUGGGGUAAAGGCCUACCAAGGCGACGAUCAGUAGCUGGUCUGAGAGGACGACCAGCCACACUGGGACUGAGACACGGCCCAGACUCCUACGGGAGGCAGCAGUGGGGAAUUUUGGACAAUGGGCGAAAGCCUGAUCCAGCAAUGCCGCGUGUGUGAAGAAGGCCUUCGGGUUGUAAAGCACUUUUGUCCGGAAAGAAAUCCUUGGCUCUAAUACAGUCGGGGGAUGACGGUACCGGAAGAAUAAGCACCGGCUAACUACGUGCCAGCAGCCGCGGUAAUACGUAGGGUGCGAGCGUUAAUCGGAAUUACUGGGCGUAAAGCGUGCGCAGGCGGUUUGCUAAGACCGAUGUGAAAUCCCCGGGCUCAACCUGGGAACUGCAUUGGUGACUGGCAGGCUAGAGUAUGGCAGAGGGGGGUAGAAUUCCACGUGUAGCAGUGAAAUGCGUAGAGAUGUGGAGGAAUACCGAUGGCGAAGGCAGCCCCCUGGGCCAAUACUGACGCUCAUGCACGAAAGCGUGGGGGAGCAAACAGGAUUAGAUACCCUGGUAGUCCACGCCCUAAACGAUGUCAACUAGUUGUUGGGGAUUCAUUUCCUUAGUAACGUAGCUAACGCGUGAAGUUGACCGCCUGGGGAGUACGGUCGCAAGAUUAAAACUCAAAGGAAUUGACGGGGACCCGCACAAGCGGUGGAUGAUGUGGAUUAAUUCGAUGCAACGCGAAAAACCUUACCUACCCUUGACAUGGUCGGAAUCCCGCUGAGAGGUGGGAGUGCUCGAAAGAGAACCGGCGCACAGGUGCUGCAUGGCUGUCGUCAGCUCGUGUCGUGAGAUGUUGGGUUAAGUCCCGCAACGAGCGCAACCCUUGUCCUUAGUUGCUACGCAAGAGCACUCUAAGGAGACUGCCGGUGACAAACCGGAGGAAGGUGGGGAUGACGUCAAGUCCUCAUGGCCCUUAUGGGUAGGGCUUCACACGUCAUACAAUGGUCGGAACAGAGGGUUGCCAACCCGCGAGGGGGAGCUAAUCCCAGAAAACCGAUCGUAGUCCGGAUUGCACUCUGCAACUCGAGUGCAUGAAGCUGGAAUCGCUAGUAAUCGCGGAUCAGCAUGCCGCGGUGAAUACGUUCCCGGGUCUUGUACACACCGCCCG